rnacentral:snRNA from 1 species
AUCUUUGUGUUUGUGGAAAUGAAAAAUCUAGUGAGGUGAAACUAAGGCAUGUCAAUUGUUGGUUGAAAACUGUUUCCAAUUCACUAACAAUUAAAAUUAAAAUUUAGAUCUUGUGUGCUCUCA